rnacentral:rRNA from 1 species
UGGGGAAUUUUGGACAAUGGGGGAAACCCUGAUCCAGCCAUCCCGCGUGUGCGAUGAAGGCCUUCGGGUUGUAAAGCACUUUUGGCAGGAAAGAAACGUCAUGGGUUAAUACCCCGUGAAACUGACGGUACCUGCAGAAUAAGCACCGGCUAACUACGUGCCAGCAGCCGCGGUAAUACGUAGGGUGCAAGCGUUAAUCGGAAUUACUGGGCGUAAAGCGUGCGCAGGCGGUUCGGAAAGAAAGAUGUGAAAUCCCAGAGCUCAACUUUGGAACUGCAUUUUUAACUACCGGGCUAGAGUGUGUCAGAGGGAGGUGGAAUUCCGCGUGUAGCAGUGAAAUUCGUAGAUAUGCGGAGGAACACCGAUGGCGGAGGCAGCCUCCUGGGAUAACACUGACGCUCAUGCACGAAAGCGUGAGGAGCAAACAGG